rnacentral:rRNA from 1 species
UGCGGUGCUACAACUGCAGCUGACGUGAGAGGGUACAUAUCCUUGAAAGUGGCGCACGGGUGAGUAAUACGUAGGUGACUGCCCUGGAGUGGGGGAUAACAACUGGAAACGGUUGCUAAUACCGCAUACUGCUAAGACAUUGGGAAAUGACUUAGUAAAAACUCUGGUGCUUCAGGAGGGGCCUGCGGCCGAUUAGCUAGUUGGCGGGGUAAGAGCCCACCAAGGCAGUGAUCGGUAGCUGGUCUGAGAGGACGAUCAGCCACACGGGAACUGAGACACGGUCCCGACUCCUACGGGGGGCAGCAGUGAGGAAUAUUGGGCAAUGGGCGGAAGCCUGACCCAGCAACGCCGCGUGGAGGAAGACGGCCUUCGGGUUGUAAACUCCUUUUACGGGGGAAGAGGAAGGACGGUACCCCGAGAAUAAGUCACGGCUAACUACGUGCCAGCAGCCGCGGUAAUACGUAGGUGACAAGCGUUAUCCGGAAUUACUGGGCGUAAAGCGCACGCAGGCGGCGCAUUAAGUCUGACGUGAAAUCUCCCGGCUUAACUGGGAGGGGUCGUUGGAGACUGAUGUGCUUGAGGCGGUGAGAGGGGUGUAGAAUUCCCGGUGUAGUGGUGGAAUGCGUAGAUAUCGGGAGGAAUACAGUGGCGAAAGCGGCCCCUGGCACUAGCUGACGCUCAUGUGCGAGGCGUGGGAGCACGGGUUAAUUCCCGUAUCCGCGUAACUGAUACAGGGUAGGGUGAACCCUGGCCGAGAAGCAAAGUUCCCGG